CAAAAAAAAAUCAUCCGAAUCGAAUACCGUUUAAACAUUCAAAUGCAUCAUAAGAAAUCAACCGUGUAGGUAACAAGUAACAUAUUCAUAAUGAGUUGUUGAUUUGUUUGAUAUAUUUGGAUGACUAAAGAAUAUUUGAUUCGAAUGAUUUUUUUACGAAUCUAAAAUCAGUUUGAAGUUUUUAUAGAUGGUGUUAGUUUAUAGUUUUGGUUUGGUUAAGUAACAAGUCUAUUGGUGUAUGACCGAAAUUCUAAAAUUUUGGUUUGCUUGUUUUGGCUAGGUUUAUUGGUGUUUGCACUUUUGUCUCCCCUUAAAAUGAUUCAAAACUAGUGAAAUUCUAUUAAAUGUAUGUGUUUUUAUCUCUAUACAUACACUGUGCGAGGGAUUGAAGCUCAACUAGUAAUUAAGUGAUUACAAAAUGUUAGAUAAAGCGGAUUAGAAAUGCAAUUCAUUGGCAUUACAAAAGCAUGUGGCCCUUA
rnacentral:lncRNA from 1 species